rnacentral:lncRNA from 1 species
UUUUUUUUCUUUCUUUCUUUUUUUUUUUUUUUUCAGAAACGAGGUUGCCCAGCUCUGGCUGCUCUGUUGCCCAGCCGGGAAUGCAGUGGUGCAAUCAAGGCUUACUGUAGCCUUGACCUCCUGGGUUCAAGGGUCCCACCUCAGCCUCCCAAGCAGUGGGACUGCAGGCGCACACCACCACGCCUGGCUAAUUAAAAAAAAUUUUUUUUUUGUAGAGAUGGACAUCUCGCUAUGUUGCCCAGACUGAUCCCUAAUUCCUGGCCUCAAGUGAUCCUCCUGCUUCAGCCUCUCAAAGUGCUGGGAUUGCAGGUACCAGCCACUGUACCUGGCCAGUAAUUCAUUUUAUUACUGAGUAGAAUUCCACUGUAUGAAUGUAUCACAAUUUGCUUAUUAAUUCGCCUGCUGAAGGACCUUUGUAUUGUUUUCAGUUCAGGGUUAUUAAAAAUAAAGUGGCCAUCAACAUUCUUGUACAAGUCUUCAUAUGGAAACAUAGUACUUUCAUUUCUCUUGGGUAAAUUCUUAAAAAUAGAACGGUCAGGUCUUUAGCCCUCUCCCUCCCCCUCCCCCUCCCCAUCCCCCUCUCCCCACGUUCUCCCUCUCCCUCUCCCUCUCUCUCCACGGUCUCCCUCUGAUGCCGAGCCAAAGCUGGACUGUACUGCCACCGCGCGCGCCACCACGCCUGACUGGUUUCCGUAUUUUUUUGGUGGAGACGGGGUUUUGCUGUGUUGGCCGGGCUGGUCUCCAAGCCAUUUCAGAAGACUUCCAGUCCACCCCUCCCAUCACAGGCCCAGAGGGCUAGGGAG